rnacentral:rRNA from 1 species
UACGAAGGGUGCUAGCGUUGUUCGGAAUUAUUGGGCGUAAAGCGUGCGUAGGCGGUUUGGUAAGUCGACUGUGAAAGCCCAGAGCUUAACUUUGGAACUGCAUUCGAAACUACCAGGCUAGAGUAUGGCGGGGGAUAGUGGAAUUCUUAGUGUAGGGGUGAAAUCCGUAGAUAUUAAGAGGAACUCCAGUGGCGAAAGCGGCUAUCUACACCAUUACUGACGCUGAGGCACGAAAGCGUGGGGAGCAAACAGG